GAUGAAGAACGUAGCGAAAUGCGAUACUUGGUGUGAAUUGCAGAAUCCCGUGAACCAUCGAGUCUUUGAACGCAAGUUGCGCCCGAAGCCAUUAGGCCGAGGGCACGCCUGCCUGGGCGUCACACGUCGUUGCCCCCCCCAUCUACUCCUUCGGGAUUGCGGGGGCGGAUGAUGGCCUCCCGUGCGCCUCGCCGCGCGGUUGGCAUAAAUGCCAAGUCCUCGGCGACGCACGCCACGACAAUCGGUGGUUGCGAAACCUCGGUUGCCCGUCGUGUGCGGUCGUCGCGCAUCGAGGGCUCGAAAAAAUUGCCGAGUUCCGGCUCGGCUUUCAACGCGACCCCAGGUCAGGCGGGGUUACCCGCUGAAUUUAAGCAUAUCAAUAAGCGGAGGA
rnacentral:misc_RNA from 1 species